UUCUCGGUAGCUCAGUUGGUAGAGCAGCGGGGCGUAAACCUGGAAGACCUGGGUUCGAAUCCCAGUCGAGUUCCAAA